rnacentral:rRNA from 1 species
UACGAAGGGGGCGAGCGUUGUUCGGAUUUACUGGGCGUAAAGCGUGCGCAGGCGGUUUUGUAAGUCUGUCGUGAAAUCCCCGGGCUUAACCUGGGAAUGGCGAUGGAGACUGCAAGGCUAGAGUUUGGCAGAGGGGGGUAGAAUUCCACGUGUAGCAGUGAAAUGCGUAGAGAUGUGGAGGAACACCGAUGGCGAAGGCAGCCCCCUGGGUCAAAACUGACGCUCAUGCACGAAAGCGUGGGGAGCAAACAGG